rnacentral:rRNA from 1 species
AGUGAACGCUGGCGGUCGGCCUAACACAUGCAAGUCGAACGGCAGCACAGGAGAGCUUGCUCUCUGGGUGGCGAGUGGCGGACGGGUGAGGAAUACAUCGGAAUCUACUCUGUCGUGGGGGAUAACGUAGGGAAACUUACGCUAAUACCGCAUACGACCUACGGGUGAAAGAAGGGUACCUCCGGGCCUUGCGCGAUUGAAUGAGCCGAUGUGGGAUUAGCUAGUUGGCGGGGUAAAGGCCAACCAAGGCGACGAUCCGUAGCUGGUCUGAGAGGAUGAUCAGCCACACUGGAACUGAGACACGGUCCAGACUCCUACGGGAGGCAGCAGUGGGGAAUAUUGGACAAUGGGCGCAAGCCUGAUCCAGCCAUACCGCGUGGGUGAAGAAGGCCUUCGGGUUGUAAAGCCCUUUUGUUGGGAAAGAAAUCCAGCUGGCUAAUACCCGGUUGGGAUGACGGUACCCAAAGAAUAAGCACCGGCUAACUUCGUGCCAGCCGCCGCGGUAA